CAAAAGCUCCCCUACUGAGCACCUUGUGACCCCCACUCUGCCCACCAGAGAACAACCCCCUUUGACUGUAAUUUUCCUUUAUCUACCCAAUCCUAUAAAACGGCUCCACCCUUAUCUCCCUUUGCUGACUCUCUUUUUGGACUCAGCCCACCUGCACCCAGGUGAAAUAUACAGCCAUGUUGCUCACACAAAGCCUUUUUGGUGGUGUCUUCACAUGGACGUGCAUGGAAUUUGGUGCCGUGACUCGGAUCGGGGGACCUCCCUUGGGAGAUCAAUCCCCUGUCCUCCUGCUCUUUGUUCCGUGAGAAAGAUCCACCUACGACCUCAGGUCCUCAGACCCACCAGCCCAAGGAACAUCUCACCAAUUUUAAAUUGGGACCCCACUGGAAAUCGGACUGUCCAACUCACCUGGCAGCCACUCCCAGAGCCCCUAGAACUCUGGCCCAAGGCUCUCUGACUGCUUCCCAGAUCUUCUUGGCUUAGUGGCUGAAGACUGAUGCUGCCUGAUUGCCUCGGAAGCCCCCUAGACCAUCACUGAUGCCAGCUUCACGUAACUUUCACAGUGGAGGCCUGCUGCAGAAAUUUGCAUAAGUAACUAGGAGCCAAAUGCUAAUCACCAAGACAAUGGGGAAAAUGCUUCCAGGACAUGUCAGAGACCUUCACAGAAACCCUUCCCAUCACAGACCUGGUGGCCUAGGAGGGAAAAAUGGGUUUCCUGGACAAAGUCCAGAGACCCCUGCUGUGUGCAGCCUCAGGACUUGAUGCCCUGCUUCCCAGUUACUCCAGCCAUAGCUAAAAGGGGCAAAGGUACAUUUUGGGCCAUGGCUUCAGAGGGUACAAGCCCCAAGCCUUGGCAGCUUCCAUGUGGUGUUGAGUCUGCAGGGUCACAGAAGUCAAAUAUUGAGUUUUGGGAAUCUCUGCCUAGAUUUCAGAGGAUGUACAGGCAGAAGUAUGCUGCAGGAGGUGGAGCCCUCAUGGAGAACCUUUGCUAGGGCAGCACAAGGGAAAUGUGGGAUUGGAGCCCCCACACACAGUCCUCAUUGAGGCAUCACCUAGUGGAGCUGUGAGAAGAGAGCCACCGUCCUCCAUACCCCAGAAUGUUAGAUACACUGACAGCUUGCAUCGUACACCUGGAAAACCCACAAGCACUCACCACCCUGUGAAGGCAGCUGGGAUGGGGGCUACAGGAGCAGAGCUGCCCAAGGCAUGGGAGCCCACCACUUGCAUCAGCAUGACCUGGAUGUGAGACAUGGAAUCAAAGGAGAUCAUUUUGGAACUUUAAGGCUUAAUGACUGCCUGGUUGGAUUUUGAAGUUGCAUGGGGCCUCUGGCCCCUUUGUUCGGCCAAUUUAUCCCAUUUGGAGAAAUGGGAGUAUUUAUCCAAUGACUAUACCUUCACUGUAUCUAGGAAGUAACUAACUUGCUUUAGCAGGCUCAUAGGUGGAAAAGAAUUGCCUUGUCUCAAAUAAGACCUUGGACUUGGACUUUUGGGUUAAUGCUGGAAUGAAUUGAAAUUUUGGGGGACUGUUGAAAGGGCAUGAUUGUGUUUUGAAUUGUGAGGACAUAAGAUUUUGAAGGAACCAGGGUGGAAUGAUACGGUUUGGCUUUGUGUCCCCACCCAAAUCUCAUCUCAAAUUGUAGUUCCCAUAAUCCUUACAUGUCAUGGGAGGGACAACGCAGACAUAACUGAAUCAUGGGGUGGUUUCUCCCAUCCUAUUCUCAUGAUAGUGAAUUAGUUCUCAUGAUAUCUGAUUGCCUUAUAAGGGGCUUCUCCCUUCCCUGGGCACUCAUUCUUUUCUCUCCUGUCGCCAUGUGAGGACAUGUUGCUUCCUCUUAUGCCAUGAUUGUAUGUUUCCUGAGGCCUCCCCAGCCACGUGGAACUGUAAGUCAAUUAAACCUCUUUUCUUUAUAAAUUACCCAGUCUUGGGUAUUUCUUCAUGUCAGCAUGAGAAUGGACUAUUAGAGUAGAUCCCUACAAAUCAUUAUUAUUUUAAGACUUUUUCAUAUAGAAUCCUUUGAAAUGCUAUUUUGAAAUCAUAUUCGAGUCACAUAUAAUCUUGUGUUUUUUAGCAUUGCUUU